rnacentral:tRNA from 1 species
ACUUUUAGGGUGUGGUUGCACGUGGGCUUUCCAAGUCUAAGGGCCAAGUAGAAAUUUGGUAAAAGUA